rnacentral:lncRNA from 1 species
GACUCAUAUCCAUACAUUUUUUAUUUUUACAUAUAAGAUAAUAAGAGACAAUCACUUUUUAUUUUUACCUGCUUACUGGUACCCUUGGGGUCUAUAGGGAUGUCCUCCUACUCGUAAACCCAAUAUCCAAUUUAACAAUUAACCAGUCGUUCUCAUACUCCGUUCGGUAAUGGGCGCCAAACAUUCCAUUACCUCGAUAUCUUGUCCGGUAUGAGAGUGAGCCAUAUCUCCCAAACCUUACUAGUAAGGGACUUUCCAACCCCCUUCGACU